GAUGAACGCUGGCGGCGUGCCUAAUACAUGCAAGUCGAGCGAACAGACGAGGAGCUUACUCCUCUGACGUUAGCGGCGGACGGGUGAGUAACACGUGGAUAACCUACCUAUAAGACUGGGAUAACUUCGGGAAACCGGAGCUAAUACCGGAUAACAUGCUGAACCGCAUGGUUCAACAGUGAAAGACGGUCUUGCUGUCACUUAUAGAUGGAUCCGCGUCGCAUUAGCUAGUUGGUAAGGUAACGGCUUACCAAGGCAACGAUGCGUAGCCGACCUGAGAGGGUGAUCGGCCACACUGGAACUGAGACACGGUCCAGACUCCUACGGGAGGCAGCAGUAGGGAAUCUUCCGCAAUGGGCGAAAGCCUGACGGAGCAACGCCGCGUGAGUGAAGAAGGUCUUCGGAUCGUAAAACUCUGUUAUUAGGGAAGAACAAAUGUGUAAGUAACUAUGCACGUCUUGACGGUACCUAAUCAGAAAGCCACGGCUAACUACGUG
rnacentral:rRNA from 1 species